rfam:Vitrella brassicaformis CCMP3155 genome assembly, contig: scaffold380
GGGCAGGUGGCGAAACGGUAAACGCACCACAUUCAAAAUGUGGCGAGCAACGCUCUUAAGGGUUCGAUUCCCUUCCUGCCUA